UACGUAGGGUGCGAGCGUUGCCCGGAUUUAUUGGGCGUAAAGGGCUCGUAGGCGGUCCGUCACGUCGGGAGUGAAAACUCAGGGCUCAACCCUGAGCGUGCUUCCGAUACGGGCGGACUAGAGGUAUGCAGGGGAGAACGGAAUUCCUGGUGUAGCGGUGGAAUGCGCAGAUAUCAGGAGGAACACCGGUGGCGAAGGCGGUUCUCUGGGCAUUACCUGACGCUGAGGAGCGAAGGCAUGGGGAGCGAACAGG
rnacentral:rRNA from 1 species